AGACUCUGCUAACAAUAUGUAUGGUCCCUGUUACUGUAAUCAAUGUAUUCAUCUUCACAGCCUCUCUCUGAGUGAAAAGGAGCCUCUAAAAUGAGAUUGGAGCAAAUAAUAUCAUUCCUUAAUCUGGAAGGAAUUACAUGAUUAUUUUUUGUAACUGACUCCAGGUUCUGGAAGCGGUGAUGCCAUUUGCAUGGGCAGAUCCAGGAUUGCAGUGCCAAGGGUGCAGCCCCACCCCAUUCAUUGGAGAGAACUUAUUGUCCAUAUGCCACACAGAAGAAUGGAGUGUAAACAGAAGAUUCA